AUGUCUUCCCCUGAAAUUUCUUCCCUCUCAUGAGGUCAAAUGAAAGUACAAGGCUCUUCUAAAAUCUAUAAGGACUACAAAGUAUAGCCAGGGGGAAGUCGGGCUUGGGACUGGAGAGAAACAGGAACUCAGCAUUCUCCUGGUGUGCAGCCUGCAGAUGUGGAGGAGGUUGUUGAGGAGGGUGUGCAGAUCCUUUUGACUGGCCAAGGGAUGAGUGAGGCCUUGAAGGUACCCCCAUCAACUGUGGAGUACCUCAAGAAAAAAGGCAUUGAUGUACAGGUCCUCCAGACAGAGCAGGCAGUGAAGGAGUAUAAUGCCUUGGUUACCCAAACCUUCAGGGUGGGAGGGGUCUUCCAUUCCACCUGCUGAUGGAGCCUUAAGAGAAUAAAUAACUAAGCAAUGAA